rnacentral:rRNA from 1 species
GACGAACGCUGGCGGCGUGCUUAACACAUGCAAGUCGAACGGUGAAGCCCUUCGGGGUGGAUCAGUGGCGAACGGGUGAGUAACACGUGAGCAACCUGCCCCUGGCUCUGGGACAACCACUGGAAACGGUGGCUAAUACCGGAUACGACCCGCCUCGGCAUCGAGUGUGGGUGGAAAGUUUUUCGGCUGGGGAUGGGCUCGCGGCCUAUCAGCUUAUUGGUGAGGUGAAGGCUCACCAAGGCGACGACGGGUAGCCGGCCUGAGAGGGCGACCGGCCACACUGGGACUGAGACACGGCCCAGACUCCUACGGGAGGCAGCAGUGGGGAAUAUUGCACAAUGGGCGAAAGCCUGAUGCAGCGACGCCGCGUGAGGGAUGACGGCCUUCGGGUUGUAAACCUCUUUCAGCUCCGAAGAAGCGAAAGUGACGGUAGGAGCAGAAGAAGCACCGGCUAACUACGUG